rnacentral:lncRNA from 10 species
GAGGCUGAGGCAGGAGAAUCACUUGAGCCCAGGAGGCGGAGGUUGCAGCGAGCCGAGAUCACGCCACUGCGCUCCAGCCUGGGAGACAGAGCAAGACUGUCUCAAACACAACAACAACAACAACAACAACAAAAAACAAAAAGCAAAAGUUAGCCGGGCGUGGUGGCGCGCGCCUGUAGUUCCAGCUACUCAGGGGGCUGAGGCACGAGAAUUGCUUGAACCUGGGAGGUGGAGGUUGCUGUGAGCCGAGAUCACAACACUGCACUCCAGCCUGGGCGACAGAGCGAGACUCUGUAUCAAAAAAAAAAAAAAAAAGAAAAGAAAGAAAGACACAAUGACAAAGGCAGAGUUCACCUACAGAGGGAAUGACAUCAAUACAUUAGGAAUAUUUUUAAUACAUUAAAUCCCUUUGGGGUGUUUUUGGACACCUGGCUUGUCAUACUAUGAACAACAGAAUUUCCUUAAAAAGUUUUUAUUUUAGAGACAGGGUCUCGCUCUGUUGACCAGGCUGGAGUGCAGUGGCGCAGUCAUAGCUCACUGUAGCCUCAAACUCUUGAGCUCAACUGGUCCUGCCACUUCAGACUCCCAAGUAGCUAGGACUACAGGUGUAUGCCACCACAACCAGCUAACUUUUACAAAAUAUUUUUUGUAGAGAUGAGGGGGACUCGCUCUGUGGCUCACGGCCGUCUUGAACUUUGAAUACCUGGCCUCAAGCUAUUUUCCUGCCUCGCCCUCCCAGAGUGCUGGGAUUACAGGUGUGAACCACCGCACCCAGCCCUCAUUUAUUUGAUUUCUUCAGAGAGGCUCAUCUGUUCCUAUAUUUAGAAAUGUGGAACUUUUCCAAAGAAGACAACCUUCAUUUUUUUCAUACGGGCUUUCAAAAGAAUGUGAUGUCCUUUUGGUGUUUUAGAUUCUCACCUAUGAGGUAUAAACAAAUCGCCUUGCAGACAAGUCUCAACACAGAACACAUGCUGCUUAUCACUGGCAAAGACUUGCAUCAGCCUGCCACCACGGCUGGCUCAUCUUGUCCCUCCAGGCCUGUGCCUGCUGGAACACUCCCACUCCCCAUGUCUGAAUACACCACUUCGGUUGGACCAAGAGUUUCCAGCUCGGGUGGCCCCUCCUUCCCUGGAAAUAAAUAGCUGCCUAUAGAAUAUCAGAGUCAUUCUGACUCAGGGGUGACUCAGCUCUUCCAUGACCUGUGUUCCCACUUCUCCUUGAUAAGGCCAAUGUUUUGGCCCUACUGGUGAAAAUAUGUAGACCUAACAUCUAUCUCCCUGCUCCAGUUUCAAGAGAAAAGACCUUAUUCAGAGAAAUAUUUAGAAGACUCUUGUGGAAUUCUUGCUGUGAGUGGUUUUUCCUUCCCUGCCAUUGGUGCGACUGUUUCCCCCUUCCGUCAAAUUGCUGUCUAGAUGUUUCUCUCUGACCCCAAUUUUCUCGGAGUUUGGGAUUAUCAAUCUAAAAUCAGAGGUGAGAAUUCAUCAGUGUUAUCGAUAAGACUUUGCAAUUAUUUCUUUCAAACUGAACUUUUUCCCUAUUCACUUAUUUUUCCUCAUUGCAAAAUAAUCAAAGCAUUGAUGAGUGUUUCUGUUUAAAUUCAAAGGACAUUCCACCUUUAACCUUAGCAUUCAUGAGACACAAAAUGGGUUUUUCUUUUUGCUGAUUUAAAAAGCUGCUAUGAAGCUGCACAGUGCGGAAGAGGGCACCCCUGCUCCAGAAAAGAAGAAACAAAACUGCCUGCCAUAGACACUUGGUAGGGAGUGGCAAAUGGAAUCUUGGUUUGUUUUUCUCUUAGGACUUUGACAAUUAUUUUUCCUUGAAAAGAAUAAGAGAAUCUACCUAAAAUAUUAAUACUAGUUUCAGAGCUCUAGGAUAAUAUAGAGCAGAGUCUCUUUUUUUUAAAAAAGGAAAGCGGUUUCAUUUCUGACAGUGGAUUUCUUCCACUGAUGUGCACACUCUUUGACAUGAAAAGCUGCACGAAGCUGCCUUGAAUUCAUUCUGCAGAUGGAAAGUUGCAAGUACGGUAAUUAGCUAAGCAGUGGCAAGGCCGACCAUCUGAGGUUUGAUUUCUCAUCAAGAGAUAGUGUCCGACACACGUGCCACUGAGCAUGCUUGUAAGAGUUCCACGUUUCAGAUGCACUGAGAAUGCAUGCAUGGAACACACGUCCCCCCAGCCCAACAACCGCACUCCCAAAUUGCCCCUGCACACAUAUAUUCUAACACGGUUACAACACAGCAUGCUCCCGAGCCUCAGACAAUAAGCUGCCCAAAAAGAUGCUCAAGCAACAGUCGCAGUGGGCCUGACUUCUGGUAUCCGCAGCCACUCCAGAGAACUUCCUGUGAGCCCCAGGGACUCAGAGGAGGCUGAGUGAUGAGGAAGGUGGCCAGAGGCUGCCGGACUAGCCCCAAGCAGUCACUCUGCUUCCUGCCUUUGUUUUCCCUCAAACUCUCAUCUUUCUGGAGAAAACAAAACCCUGUCCUGGGGGUGUAGACCAGCCAUGACACCCACUAAUAACCUCUAGCAAAACAAUAGUUUUAAAAUUACUUAAUGCUCUCUUGACUUUCUGACUUUUAAAAUGAAAAUUGUAUUUUGUCACUGUAUCCUUUUGUUGGCAAGUGGAAUACUGCACUCAAACCAAGCAGGCAAUGUAAAACUAUGACUUCAAAGCCAUUCCUUGAUAAAACAUCAAAACGGCCCAGAGUGAACCAACUGUUAUCUGUAAUUCAACAGAUAAUUAACUGAAACUCAGUGCUCAAAUUGCUACUGGGAGUUUCUGCAGCCAAGGUCAUUCUCAUGGUGCUGCUUGAUUUUGUUUCUGUGUCUCUUAUAUCGUUUUAGGCAGGGAGGAACUUGGAUUGUCCUUCAGUAAAAUUCCACUUUGAUGCGCAAAGCGAACUUGAAUUUCUGCUUGGCCUACCACAGGCCUGCAACAUGCACUUUCUCCUCGAGGGAACUGCCACUCACUGACACGGACAACAGUAAAGGAACUUGGUCUUCACUAUGCCUCAUAGUGGUGGGUCACACUGCCCAGGAGGAACCCGCAAUGAGACCGGCAAAUGCCUUAACCAUCUCAUUGUCUCAUCAGGAAGAAGCUUAAAUGACUCUUCUUGCUCACAUACUUCCUGGGCAAACAUGUCUGCUCUGUUGGGAUAAAGGACGCUCUAGACCAGGCUCUGCUGAAAGAUCCAGGGCAAAGGUUCCUGACAAGACUAUGUCCAGCCUCAAAUAAGGCCACAGAAGAGCCCAGGCUCGCUGACGAGCACCGGCUCCGAGGCAGUCACAUCAGGAGACAGAAACAGACAUGUUGGUGCUGCCCUCUCAGGUCAGUGCAAAUGCCACUUGAGGAGGGCUGAGAGCUUUGCAGCAUAAAAUGACCAGAACAAGGAGAAACACAGAUGCAAUGGCAAUAGCUGGCAAUUCGCACAUGGCGUCAAACACCACUGCCACAGAAGCUUUUUAGCUACAAGCCACGCUAUGCAACCUUUAAGCAAAACAUUAUUGAUUUUGUGGUUGUAAAAACAUACCUUCAACUGCAGAACUCAGUUUUAUGACACCUUGAAUAAAAACAAAAAGUGGCAGUUAUAUAAUGGACCCAAAUCGCCUUUUCCAGGCUUCUCAUAACACACGCAUGCUUCAGAUUUGGAUUUUUCUUUUUCUGCUGGCAUUGCAAGAACGUAACUAAACAAAUAUCAACUUCAAAAAUAAAAUAAUUUUUAGUCUUAACUAGGUCUCAUGGAUGUCUUCUUUUCCCCCACUAAAACCAUUUGGGGAAAUUUUUCACUAAAAAUGGGAUCAAACAUGUUUUUGGAUGGGACAAAGGCCAAGUCUGCCUGAGUGACUAUUUCUGUGUAUAAAUUAUACCAGAUUAUGGAUCAAUAAAAGUUCACACAAUAGGAUGCUAGGGACCAGCACUUCCUCUUUGAUACUGUAUCUAGAGAUCAUCUGAUGCAUGUUAGGACAGAGUUUCUGUUGAAACAUGUAACAGGUGGUUAAAAACCAUGGUGUGAUCUGGUAACUUUCUUCUCUGGGGUGGUUGGGCCAGAGCCCUUUUCUUGGUCUGAUGGGUUUAGAUUUCAGCUCCCUCAAGUCAGAGAGUGAACGGGUUAUCUGAGCAAGUCAAGUUGUUCAUGAAGCAAGUCAGUACCCUUGACUGAUAUUUAUGCACCUUUGCAGUGAAUUUUUUUUUUUUUUGAGACAGAGUCUCGCUCUGUCACCCAGGCUGGAGUGCAGUGGCGCAAUCUCGGAUCUUGGAUCUCGGCUCACUGCAACCUCUGCCUCCUGGGUGGACGCCAUUCUCCUGCCUCAGCCUCCCGAGUGGCUGGGACUACAGGCGCCCGCCAGCACGCCCGGCUAAUUUUUUGUAUUUUUAGUAGAAACAUGGUUUCACUGUA